AUGACACCAAUUCUAGUACGAUCACCGAGAGUUAAGCAAGGUCGAGCCUGGUCAGUACCUAGAUGGGUAACCGCUUGGGAAUACCAGGUGCUGUAAG